rnacentral:rRNA from 1 species
CCUACCGUAAACGGUGGGAACUAGGUGGGCGACAUUCCACGUCGUCGGUGCCGCAGCUAACGCAUUAAGUUCCCCGCCUGGGGAGUACGGCCGCAAGGCUAAAACUCAAAGGAAUUGACGGGGGCCCGCACAAGCAGCGGAGCAUGUGGCUUAAUUCGACGCAACGCGAAGAACCUUACCAAGG